rnacentral:tRNA from 4 species
GAGAGAUUAGUUAAAUUAUAAUAUAAGAUUGUCAGUCUUACGUUACUAGUGAAACUAGUAUUUCUUA